GGUUCAUUCAAAUUUCUUCCCUAUCAACUUUCGAUGCGAGGGUAUUGUCCUCGCAUGGUUACAACGGGUAACGGAGGGUUAGGGCUCGACCCCGGAGAAGGAGCCUGAGAAACGGCUACUACAUCCAAGGAAGGCAGCAGGCGCGCAAAUUACCCAAUCCCGACCGGGGAGGUAGUGACAAUAAAUACUGAUACAGGGCUCUUUUGGUCUUGUAAAUCGGAAUGAGUACAAUUUAAAUCUCUUAACGAGGAACAAUUGGAGGGCAAGUCUGGUGCCAGCAGCCGCGGUAAUUCCAGCUCCAAUAGCGUAUAUUANAGUUGUUGCAGUUAAAAAGCUCGUAGUUG
rnacentral:rRNA from 1 species